rnacentral:rRNA from 1 species
GAUGAACGCUGGCGGCGUGCCUAAUACAUGCAAGUCGAGCGAAUGGAUUAAGAGCUUGCUCUUAUGAAGUUAGCGGCGGACGGGUGAGUAACACGUGGGUAACCUGCCCAUAAGACUGGGAUAACUCCGGGAAACCGGGGCUAAUACCGGAUAACAUUUUGAACCGCAUGGUUCGAAAUUGAAAGGCGGCUUCGGCUGUCACUUAUGGAUGGACCCGCGUCGCAUUAGCUAGUUGGUGUGGUAACGGCUCACCAAGGCAACGAUGCGUAGCCGACCUGAGAUGGUGAUCGGCCACACUGGGACUGGGACACGGCCCAGACUCCUACGGGAGGCAGCAGUAGGGAAUCUUCCGCAAUGGACGAAAGGCUGACGGAGCAACGCCGCGUGAGUGAUGAAGGCUUUCGGGUCGUAAAACUCUGUUGUUAGGGAAGAACAAGUGCUAGUUGAAUAAGCUGGCACCUUGACGGUACCUAACCAGAAAGCCACGGCUAACUACGUGCCAGCCGCCGCCGCAG